rnacentral:rRNA from 1 species
UAGGGAAUCUUCCGCAAUGGGCGCAAGCCUGACGGAGCAACGCCGCGUGAGUGAUGAAGGUCUUCGGAUCGUAAAACUCUGUUAUUAGGGAAGAACAAACGUGUAAGUAACUGUGCACGUCUUGACGGUACCUAAUCAGAAAGCCACGGCUAACUACGUGCCAGCAGCCGCGGUAAUACGUAGGUGGCAAGCGUUAUCCGGAAUUAUUGGGCGUAAAGCGCGCGUAGGCGGUUUUUUAAGUCUGAUGUGAAAGCCCACGGCUCAACCGUGGAGGGUCAUUGGAAACUGGAAAACUUGAGUGCAGAAGGGGAAAGUGGAAUUCCAUGUGUAGCGGUGAAAUGCGCAGAGAUAUGGAGGAACACCAGUGGCGAAGGCGACUUUCUGGUCUGUAACUGACGCUGAUGUGCGAAAGCGUGGGGAUCAAACA